rnacentral:lncRNA from 1 species
CCUCAUUGAGCGCAAGCUCACCCCGUUCUGUUCCUUUUGUUUUCCUUACAGGAAAAAUAAAUACAUUUGGACUGGAUUUGACAAAUGGCUGCCAAAUUGAGCUAGUUGAACAUAUCUUUUGCAUAGCUCAUGUAUUAAAACCCUAAGUGUACUUUUGGGGCGUUUGUUUUUGAUUUGGCAAACCGUGUGUAUAUAUUAACUUUUGAAACUUUUGUAUGUCAUUUUGAUUGGUAAACGCUAAAGUUCAGAUGUGAAUGUUUGUUAGCUAUUUCGGUUGGGUUCUGACGGGUCGGUUACUAUUCAUGGCC